rnacentral:lncRNA from 1 species
AUGGGCAGAGGCGGGUCCAGGCCGGGGAAACGCAGGAAGGGGCCGGGUCCCCAAACAGCCCCGCCCCGUCCCGAUGUCACCUUUGGGGACAACGUCGAUGACCUGAUGGAUUCCCUGGGACUCAGCAGCGGCGCCGAUGGAGCCGGGAGCGCGCCGGGAACGCCGGGGGGCCAGGGGCUCCGGAAGGGCCGCGCCGGGAUCCAGGAGCAGCCGGGAAAGGCGGAAUUCCAGCCGGAUCCCAAGGGGCAGGAGCAGCCAGGGCCGGGUGGGGCCCGGAUCCAGCCGGGUUUUCCCUUUGGAUCCUACGAGCCCUCGGUGGCCUCGGGGACAGCGCGGAGACGGGAACGGAGGUGUCCGGCUGGGAGCAGCUCCCGACGUCCCUCCGGGGCCACCUGGCUGGGGCUCAAGGACGAGGAUUUCCUGGAAUUAGGGGACGAGGAUUUCCCGGGAUUGGGACAGAAGGGAAAGGAUUUCCCGGGAUUGGGAUCAAAGGACAAGGAUUUCCUAGGACUGGGAUCGAAGGAUGAGGAUUCCCCAGGACUGGGAUCGAAGAACAAGGAUUUCCCGGGAUUGGGACUGAAGGACGAGGAUUCCCCAGGAUUGGGAUCUAAGAACAAGGAUCCCCCAGGAUUGGGAUCUAAGAACAAGGAUUUCCCAGGAUUGGGAUCGAAGGACGAGAAUCCCCCAGGACUGGGAUUGAAGAACAAGGAUUUCCCGGGAUUGGGACUGAAGGACGAGGAUUCCCCAGGAUUGGGAUCGAAGAAACAGGAUUUCCCAGGACUGGGAUCAAAGGACACGGAUUUCCCGGGACUGGGACAGGACAAGGAUUUUCUGGGACUGAAGAGCAAAGAUCCUCCAGGAUUGGGAUCGAAGAACAAGGAUUUCCCGGGAUUGGGAUGGGAGGAUGAUAAGGAUUCCCCAGGGCUGGGAUCAAAGAACGAGGAUUUCCCAGGAUUGGGAUCGAAGAACAAGGAUUUCCUGGGAUUGGGACAGAAGGACGAGGAUUCCCAGAAGGACAAGGAUUCCCGGAAGGACAAGGAUUCCCAGAAGGACGAGCAUUCCCAGAAGGAUGAGGCUCCCGCCGCCCCGGGAUCCCCGCGGGGACGGGGCUGGCUCGGCGCUGCCCCGGCCCCAAAGUGGUGCCCGGCGGAGCCUCCGGAGCCCCCCGAGCCCGGCAGGUAA